rnacentral:rRNA from 1 species
UACGUAGGGGGCAAGCGUUGUCCGGAAUCAUUGGGCGUAAAGAGCGUGUAGGCGGUCCGUUAAGUCGGCUGUGAAAGUCCAAGGCUCAACCUUGGGAUGCCGGUCGAUACUGCCGGACUAGAGUUCGGAAGAGGCGAGUGGAAUUCCCGGUGUAGCGGUGAAAUGCGCAGAUAUCAGGAGGAACACCGGUGGCGAAGGCGGGUCUCUGGGCCGAUACUGACGCUGAGGAGCGAAAGCGUGGGGAGCGAACAGG